AGAGGAGGAGACUGGAACAGGAAGGAGGGGGAGACUGGAGGAGACUGGAAGAGAAGCCACUGAGAGAACAUGGAGGCUGACGUUAAGAUUCCACGCUGUACCUUUACAGGUUAACCCACCAGCUAUGCUGAGUCAGAAUCUUGGAGAUUGUCCUCAAGUCUGUAAGCUUCGUGCUCUUCAAAACCUCGUGAGCCACCCAGUUCUGCACCCUGUCUGGAGUAACUGAUACAGAUGACAAGCCACACAGCCAAAAUCAUGAAUGAAGACUUCAGGAGACUUCUGAAAACCCAGUCUCUACCAUCUAAGUGUCCUCAGCCUGAGGCAUCAAGGGGAGAUACUAAGAAGAAAGACGCAACCAAGUAAAAGAGGAAAAGAAAAGUUAUUAGGUCAAGCUCUCUCAAGAUAUAGUUGAGAGAGGAAAAGAUAUGCUGAGAAGUAGAAAGUAUCAAUACCAGGCCAACAAAUGGAGAGAGGGCCUGAGGCAGAAAGACCAGGAAGCCAAGCUAUUUGGAGCUAUCUAUGGGGCUGCCAGGACCACACGAUUUCUUGCAGAGCAAAGAAACCAAUUAGUCUCUGAGUCCAAAUUGGAUGUAAAUAUCCAACGCAGCCAAAGGGUAAAAGGCUCUGAUUUUGCUUUCCUUCAAAAAGCAUGAGAUGAAAUUGUCAUCAAAGAACAAGAGGAGGGGCUGAUGAUGAAACGGACCAAGAAGGAAACCCAGAAGGAUGGGAUUUCUGGAAAUAAUAAAUUUAAAACAUGUCUAGGCUACAACAUUUACCAAGUACUUUUUUGAGGAGAAAACACAGCCAAAUGACCUGUGGUAAACCUUAAUGAGAACAUUCACACCAAUAUCCCCAUCAAUAUUAUCCAUAGCAAGAGUGACUGUCUGAGAAUUGAAGAUCCAGACGCACUGACUCAAAAUGACCUUGUCAUUGGCAAGCUCAUACAGGUCUUAUCAUGUGUAAGACAGAGAGACCUAAGCAGGAAAGCUACAGAGAACCUAGGAGAAAAGAGAUCCCCGAAAGUCAACAUGGGAAUUCUAGAAUAUAGUAGGAAACAUGUACCUUCUACCACCAAGAUACCUCAUUACAAGGACCCAGAGAGAUACCAGCAACCAGAGCAUCACAGAUACAGACGCUGGGCCUAAGAGUGGGAAUGAGGACCAGACUGCCAGGCCAAGAAGGAAAGGAGGAGCUACAGCUGCUCUGAGAAAUCACAGGUGGAUGGCAAGCCCCUGGUUGUUGACAAAAGAUGUGGCGCUGCCUGGGAGCUCAAGCACAUCAAUGAAGUGUCUGCUCAUUCAGCUGUGGGAGGACACCGCAAGAUAACACUUAUCCAGUGGUUAAUGGAACUGUGGCUAGCAAAGAGAAGGAGCAUAGUGAAAUGGACCAAGGCAAACCAAAAAGACUUCCUUGAGACUUAGACAGAAAAUAAGAGAAGCAUGAAAAACAAGGUUUAGCCCACAUCUGCAUCUUAAUGCGGUGUCCAGAUGCUGAAGGAUGGCAAACCAGGUAAUCCAAAGAAAGUAAUGGCUCAGAGAAGCUUCCUCUACAGCAGAAGAGUGAUGCUGUCAUUAAAAACAAAACAGUGCAAGUCACAAAACAGAACGACUAACCUCUUUAGUUAUCGUUGCAGCUGCAGAAGCUCUGCAGAAGGAUAUGCUCAGCUUUUGCCUUCUGUAAGGCCAGUAAGGUCGCCAAGAAUGUAUGUUCAUGCUCGCACACAUGGGUAUGUAUAUAAGACUUCACCAUGUGAUCAUUUGGGCCUGUUAAAAUUGGUUAGCUUGAAAAUAACAAAUUACAGGCACCACCUAGACUCAGACAGUGGGAUACUAUGCAAUUAUUUAUAAAAAGAAUAAGCUGGAGAGCUGGCUCAGUCGUUAAGAGUGCUUGAUGCUCUUGACGAAAAUGUGGGUUCAGUUCCCAGCACUGACAUGGUGGCACCAUCUGCAAUACCAGUUCCAGGGAUCCAAUACCCUGUUCUGAACUCCUUGGGCACCAGGCAUCAACAUACAUACAGGCAAGACACACAUGCAAAAAUUGUUUUACAACAAUAAAAGGAAAAGAAA